UCGUUUUUCGUACAUAUUGUAAUUCAUUUUUUUUGUCAGUUUUUUUUGGUUUUGUUCCAUUGAAGAAUAAGUUUAAGCGUUCACAAUAAAACACUUCAAUACCGUGGCUUCAUUCAAAUUCGCUCAGAAUUCAUUUUAAUUGUGCGACAUGUUAUUUUGACGAUUGUUUUUUUUUCUUCGUCUACCGUAGUCGAUUCGAUAUUUUAUUAUUUUAUUCGUUCGUUCGAAUAACGAAGAAUCUAAUCGAUUUUAAUCGAUUUCGCCAUCGAUUUUUCAGACGAAAAGUGGUUCGGCAUGAAUUGCAUCUCGAUUUCAGUCAAAUUUCGUCAUGUAUAAAUCAUCAAUUCGUAUCGCUUAAAGAGUCGGUUAAUUUGAUCCAGCAGUCAAAAACAGUGGCUUAAUUCGGAAAACAGAGAGAGAGAGAGAGAGACGAGAAAAAAAAUUCGUAAUAAUACCAUUUUUCAAUUGUGCAAUUAAAAGUUGUGUCUCGUGGAUUUUCAAUUUUGGAUUUAAUGACCAAUAGAAGUUUUUUAUUUGUCUAGUGUGAACCAUAAAUAAAUCGUUUUGUGGUUGUUUCGAUUGACCCAAAAAUCGUUGGAUAUUUUCUUGAUUACAAGUGCGACCGCAAACAGACCGAUGAAAUUUAGUUUGAUUUGUUUUGUAAUGGACACUUGAUUGUAACUGCCAAUUGUACCAGGCCAGAGCAAUUCAAGCGUGAUUGACUAUCGGCAUUAGAAAAAAAAACUCACAUCAAACACUUCUUGUCGAUUAUUGGAGAUAUGAGUACGAUUACCGGCAAUUGAAACACAAUUAAAUAUUCGAAUUGGAAUGAGACAUUAAGUGUGGCAUCAGUUGGUUUUUUUUUCUGUUAUUCAUUUCAAAUAGACCCAAAAACAAAUAACCAACAUCAUCAGUAAAUAUAUAUUGAGUGUUGAAAAUUGGAGUUUGCUGCUCAGCAGAGAAUAUCCGGAAGAGGUUUUCGAGAUCGAAUUGGAGAAAACACCAUUAGCAGGAGGCAUUUAUGUGCAUUGCCUGAUUUCACUACACACACACACACAACAUUGGUUUUUUUUAUAUAAACGACACAUGUGGAAGCAUAUGCGUUCGGCGAUGAAACCAUUCGGGUAUUUAAUUCUAUUUUAUUUUGGUUUUUUUCUGUGCAUCGCCACAUCACCUUGCUUGGGUUCAAAGGUGAUUCGAACGUCUGCCAAGUCAUUAGCCGAACGAGCUGGAGCAGCACAGUAUGCGGUUCAUAUUGAAGAAGAAUUGUCACCGGAAGAGAUAAGCAGCCCGCAUGAUCUGCGGAAGCGGCUUAGCAAUGAGAAUUUGUUUGAUGAUAACGACUAUGAGAUUUAUCAGGGUGUCGUUGGUAGACCGGGAGUCGAUUUUCCCGUUCUAACCGGCAUCCCACAAACCACAUUCAACUGCCGUGAUUUUGGCAAUGGUUAUUUUGCCGAUUUGGAAACUGAAUGCCAAGUGUUCCACAUCUGUGAAGGCGGCAAGAAAAUCUCGUUCCUCUGUCCGAACGGUACAAUUUUCCAACAAAGCGAACUGAUCUGUGACUGGUGGUUCAAAGUAAACUGUGCUGCUGCACCGGGCCAUUAUGCCGAAAGCUCCGAGGUUCUGUCACGAGCUCAAAAUCGUUCAUCGAGCUACUCGGUCAAAUCGAAGCCAACCGUAAAGCUGGAUAAAGAUCAAAAACGGCCAAAGUCAUCCGAAGAAGCAACAAAUGAUAAUUUAGAUUUUGAGGAUAUUUCAUUCCCGGAGUUGAGUGCACCAAAAUCAAAUGCAUUGAACGCUGACCGAAGGGCAAAAGCAUAUUCACAGAAUAGCACACAGAAUUUACAGAAUACUCAAAAUACUCAACGCGCUCAACAUUCGCAACGCGUGCAAAAUGCACCAAACACAAAAAGCGCGCCGAAUUCCCAAGAGUCACAAGUAUUUGCAGCCAGUUCAUCAUUUGUUAAUGCCCAAGCCAACAAUUUUAAUGGCUAUUACUACAAACAGCCGAAUCAAAAUAAAGCAUCCAAUCAAAAGGAGGCAACAACAACACAGUCACCUCAACCUCAAGCCACCUCAACGACUCCGGUAACGACAACUGCAGCUAGUGUUAAUUUUGUGCAAAAUAACAACAAUUUCGAUGGAUACAAAUACGAAGAUCGAUCGAGUCGACGAUUCCAAACGACAAAAGCUACCACGGAAAGGAACAAUCAAGUGACAUUCUCCACGACAACAUUGCCACCGAUUACAUAUCCAAAUCGGGGCACCACAAAAUACAAGGACACAAAUACCGAUCAAUUCAUCAUAAAUGUUGCAGAUACAACGGCACGAACGACACCACCUCCAUUAAUCCGAAAUCGAAUAAACGUUGAAUCGACAACUGCACGAUAUGAAACCACACGAACGACCCCAUUCUACACACCAACUGUGCCAAGUGUUUCUCCAGCUCGACCGGUAUCACGGAACCGUUUUCAAGAAGCGCGGCCAACGGUCAGCUCAGCAAAGGUUGCCGAACACGCCAUGGAAAUGAUGCAAACAAUUCAUAAUUUGAAAUUGGAUGGAGCAUCCGAGCCAACACUGGCAAAAGAACACGAUAGUCGCCCUGGAUUGAUCAUUCCACCAUCGUCCGGGCCGGAAACACUUCAUUCGCUGGCUUUGUACUUUGCAACAGCGGUUGAUAGUUUGGUAACGAAACCGAUGCCUGAAACCACAACUUUGCCAGUUCCUGGAUUGAAGGGUCUUGAUAUUCAAGUGGGCAAUGUGACGAAAUUGGAUUCAUCUUUGGUGAGUGACAGCACAAAACGCCAAUACGAGACAUUGUUUGGCAUCGAUGAAGAUGAUAAAUUAGGUAAUGAACAGAACAAAGCUAGUGUUCGUGAUGGUUCCAGUGAUGACUCCAACCUAUCGAACAAUGACUUGGAAACUGAAUUCUCGAAUAAUCCUGUUGUUGCCGCCGCUGGAACUAAACAGAUCCGAGAAUUGGCUCAAGUAUUUACGCAUGCAUUGUCCGCAUAUCUACACGAUCCAUCCACAUUCCGAAGGGUUUUGGCCGAAAUUCGACCAACCGAACCACCACCAGUCCAAAGCACUGAGUAUUUGAACAAUCGAAUUGGCAGAAACAAAGAUUUCAAAGAUGGAACUGGUCCGACGUAUUUGCCAACAUCGGCAACGCCGAGCUUCAAAGAUGCCAAUGCUGGCAUCCAAACUACAGAAGACUUGGAAGUGCUUGACUUUUCCGAUGUGACCGUGUCAACGCCGUAUUCAAAAGAGGAUUCAACUGAUAUCAACAAUAACACAGAAAGUGCUACUUCUGUACCAACUGUUGAUAUUUUCGACACAACUAGAUCGCAAAUUUUGCAAGAAUCACUCAAACAGGUUGAUCAUGUCCCAGCAUCUCGAAUUCUCACCGAAGCACUUGAAUCGUACGCAUUGAAUCAAUAUUCUGGAAAUUCACUGGAAGGAACAACCGAACCAAGCAAUCCAUUGGCUAUCGAAAUAAAUGGUGGACUCGAGGCCACAACAACUUAUCCAUAUUUAGAAGAUUUCGAAAACUCAAAUAAUACCUUCCAAUUCCCAUCGCAUUUGACCGACACCGAAUAUCCAAGUUCUCCAACCACUGAUUAUCCAAAUAUCGCAUCGACCACAUCGUCUGGACCAUUGUCAUUCGAUCUGUUGCCACCAUCAUCGGUAAAUAAAGCAUUCGAUUUCCCAAAGAAUGACAUACCCGCACCGGUCGAUGAUAAUGAUUUGCAGCGUGCUCAAUCACAGUCAAUAUUUGGCAAUAGCAAGAAUAACUUGGAGCCACAUCGAACGGGCAAAGAAUACACAACGAAAAGUAAAAACGACGCAAAAUCGUUGAAGAAUGAAAAUGGCCAUUACAUUACGGAAAUCACUCCGACCGUGACGCCAGCACCGGAUUUGAGUAAAACAACCAAUCCAGAUAAUGGAAAGAUUAAUCCAAACACAUGGUCAACACUAUCGUAUUCCGUGUUUUUGGAUCCAUUGACCAUAAAUGAUGGCCUUAUGAGUUCGAAUGAGCAAAGCACACCACCAAGUGCAAUUGGAUCGGCCACUUAUCUGCCGCAAACAACACUAACACCAAGCUACGAAACAACCAUUCCAACAUUCCUAAACAAUGACAAUCGACAGGGCAAAGCUGUUGCGCCAACAAAUGGUUCACCAACACACGAAGAUUACUUGCAUGUGAUGCAACAGAAGGCGAACGAAAUGUUUGGAUCGCUGAACGAUACAUCAGCCGAUCACCUGAUGAAUGUCAUGAAAAAGGCCGACAAAAAUAAGACGGUGCGAAAAUUGAUAUUGCUUUUGAUUCAAACGUGCGACGAUGAUUACAAUAAAACGGUUGAACAGUCAAGGCAAGCACUUUUGAAUGCUUUGAUCGGCAUGGACGGUAGAACGGAUGAUGGCAAUGAAAUUCAAACGAUUCAGACGAUCAGAGCAAAGCCGUAUCGUGACGAAAGUGCAGGUAAAGCAUUGAAUUUGAAUGGACCCAGUCAAAAUGCGUUCCCAACUACAACCACACAGUUGCCGAUAACAACAUAUCAUCGGCCGCUCAAUUUACGUAUUACCGAAAGUGCUAGCCACUCAACACAUUAUCCACCUCAUAAUGCGGCUUUGAAUACUGAAACAACAACAUAUUCGCCGCUAUUCCAAUCGACAAACUACUUUGCGGACACAACAUCAACACAAAACUAUGACUUCAGCACAACAACUGUGUAUUCAACAGAUGCUGAUACCACUACAACUACGUAUUAUCAGCCACCAACCACAACAAUUGCAACAACGACAACAACAACAACAACAACAACUAGAGUGCCAGCAACAAUCAAAUCACGCCGAAGGACCACUCAGGCGCCGUUGCGCAAUUCAAAGCGUUUAGCAAAAGAUUUGGACCAAUAUUUAGCGCAUCAAGGUGACACAAACGUAACGGUGAAUCAAUCGCAUCGGAAUUCUGAUGCUCGAGCCUUAGAAUUACUUCGGUCACUCUAUUCACUAGCAGGUCGAUUUGGUAAAUGAAAAGUAAUUGAGAAAAAAGCCCCACUUUUUACGUACACACACACACACAUACAAACAUACACAAAAAUUCGAAUUUUGAAUCGGUUUUGAGUCCUUCUGAAUUUGGUCUUUUACACGAAAAUUCCCUUUACUCUGAAAAAUUAACGACUUUUCGAAAUGAUUCUUGUUGGAAAAAUGUUCGAACGACAUUUAUGUUCAUAGUGGAGAAUGUGUGUCGUAUUGUGUAAUUUUUAUGAUGCCUAAUUUGAAAGAGAUUUUAUCAAGUAAUUUUAAAAUUUAGUCAAUUAACAUGAACGUAAGAAGUAACCAAUUUGACAAAAAAAAAUUGGAUGCACCCCCUAUCAUUGUGUCACGUGUGCAUGAUGAAGACCUUUCCCAUGCAAUUUAAAAUGAACAAAACAAAAACACAUUUAACCAUGCACACACGAAAGUAGCUAUCACAAUGCAAUUGCAAAUUAAAAUGACAAAAGAACAAGAUAGCCGAAAGAGUACCAAAACUGUCGCGUGGAAAAUGAAUUGGGUCUGAUUUAGGUAUAACGACUUAGGUUCCAAUAGAAGCCAGACACUUUGACUUUUAUUUAUAACAUCCCGUUUAUUUGAGUGGGAGAGAUGACUGUAGAUGAAUGUAUAACUUACGACACGGCAAGGUGACCGACAAUAUGACAAACUUUGACUGCCUUUUGACACACACACACACACAAGCACACAUAGAAAUGCAUAUAGAAAACACUACCACCCCGUAUUCUGACCGGCUAUCGGCUUCAAUGCUUAUUAUUUAACUGACUAGUUCUUUGUAAUGGAAUGGACAAACGAUAAAAAAAAACGAUUGCAUUUAAUUCAUUGUUACAUACAAUUGAAUGCAGUUUAUGAAUUGUUGAUAUAUUUAAUAAAUUUUAAGUCGUAAUCGAUACAUGCUUUUAUUUGUAAGUAAAUUAAUUGCAACAAUGAAAAUCAUGUUCAGAAAAAUUUCUUUUCUUUUCGUGAUAUUUAUAAAAUGAAGUAAACGGUGUAAAACUGUUUGAUAAUUUAACGUUUUUUCCCUUAUUUUUGAAACGAGGUUUUAUCCAAUUCCAAGCAUUUGAAAUUUCGUCUAUUUUUCUUCUUUUAAGCAUUCUAUUCAACAGUAAAUUGAAUAAUACAUUUAUUUUAGUAUGUUUGUAAUAGCAUGUAAAUAAAUGAGAAUUUAAAAUUAUUAGGAUAUUUGCCAUAUUAAAUAAUUUAAAUAAUCUCGGCAAGCUUAAUUUCCUCAUUUUAAAAUCACAUUGCUAAUUGAUUCCAUAGAAAAAUAAGUUUCGAGCCUUUUUUUUAAUCAAUCAAUUUAUCAAUUUCGUAGCUGAAGCAUUAAUUCUUUUUCUACUGUUUUUGGAAUAUUUCAAACGGCAACUUAUCAUGCAUAUACAAAUGUAGCAUGAAACCAGUUUUCUGUUGAUUUUUGUUAUAUUAAAUGAACUCUUAUUUGAAAAUA